GUGCAUGCUUAGGCAGCACAUAUACUAAAAUUGGAAUGACACAGAGAAGAUUAGCAUGGCCCCUGCGCAAGGAUGACUUGCAAAUUAGUGAAGAAUUCCAUUAAGAG